UUUUUUUUUUUUUUUUUUUUUUUUGCUUUUUUUGGGCUGCAGCCACAGCAUAUGGAAGGGGUCAAAUUGGAGCUACAGCUGCCAGCCACAGCCACAGCCACAGCAACAAGGGAUCCAAGCCAUGUCUGCAACCUACACCACAGUUCACAGCAACAGCAGAUCCUUGACCCACUGAGCAAGGCCAGGGAUCGAACCUGCGUCUUCAUGGAUAAUAGUCGGAUUCGUUUCCUCUGCGCCAUGACAGGAAUUCCCUUACUCUUUUAAAAUAAGCAAACAGGAGAAACAUAUAUCUCUAUGUGAAUUGACAAUAUUAGUUUUAAAUGCGGAAUAAUUGGGAGAGUGGAGUUGAAAUGUCGAGGCACCCUCCGCUGGGGGCUCCGGCUGGGCCCCUGCAGGCUACAGGAAGCCGCCAUACCAAGACUGGCCACCAGGUGGCGCCCGCUCACCAAUCUGGGCCUGCGUCCCCUUUGCCUGGUCCCUCUGAGUUAGGGGGCCUCUCACCUGUCCCAAAUGGUAGGAAAACCCUGACUCCAUCUGGCCCUGCCCCCACCUCUCCUCAUUCCUCUUGGCCUCUCCUCCUCAAGCUUCCUUGUGUGCUGCUGACCCCUUAGUGUGACGCCCCAACCUAGGCCUUAACCCAGGGGCCUGGUGGGCUUGCAAGUCAGGCUGAGGGACUCCAGCUUGAUCAGAGCGUCAGCUUUCCUUUGGUCUGUGUCCACCUGGACAUGUUUGGAUGGCCCUUUCCCCUUCUCCUGUGCCCUGUCCCUGUGUAUCUCCACGACCCCUGUGCCGCCCAAGCUACAUGGGGCCUCCACACUGGCUCUCUGAGGGUCACGAUGAGUCUGCCACAGCAUCCGCUGCACAGGGGAAGCCAAGUGUCACUGGCAGGUGCCUCCUGGACGAGGCUUUCUUCCCCAGGGCAGGUCUGAGCUGCAGCCCUGCUCCUUCCAAGCUGUGUGCCACUGCAUCUCUGAGCUGCAUCUUCUUUAAUUAUAAUGCAGAGAUAAUAAAUAAGAAAAAGCCCAUCUAUCUGACACUUAGGUGUUCACAAAAUGUGCAUCAUUUAGAAAAUGCCAGGGAUUGAACCUGUGUCUGAUGGAUCUCCAUAACUCCAAAAUAUAGACGCUGGGGAAGAGAGAGAGAGCAGAGAAGCAAUUUAAUGCAGGUGGGUUUUGCCUUCCAUAGCAUUCCGUGGCAUGUCAGGAAUUCACGGAAGCCGUAAACCUACAGGGGCACCCCACUACACUGAGUGGGAUUCUCACUUUUAAAGUUUGAAUUAUCUUGUAUUUCCUCUUCUGAAUUUAAGAGACUUCUAAUAUGAUUUUGACUAUAAGGAUUAUUUUUAACUGAAAUACAGUGGCUUAAAGGAUACAGACACUUCUUUCUUUCUCCUAUAACAGCCUGGUAGGCAGUCCAGGUUUGAUGCGCGGCACCACAGUGUUGAGACCCAGGCCCUUUCUAUCUUGUUGCUCUGCCAUCUGUGGCCUUCAUUCCCAGGUUGCCUUAUGUUCUAAGAUGGCUGCUCAAGCUCCAGCCAUCACGACUGCAUUCCUUAUAGCAGAAAGGAGGCAAGGGAGAUAUCUCUCCUUUAAGAACACUCACAAGUCGUGGAAACAUUCCACUGACAUUUCAUCAUUCUCAUGGUCUAGCAAGGGAGGCUGGGAAUGAAGAUCUUUAUUCUGGGUCACCACAUACCCGGCUAAAAUCCGGGGUUCUAUUACUUGCAAACUGGGGACAACAGACGUCAGAGAGUACUUAGCUGUCCCAUACCCUUAUCUUUCCCCCCAAGAAAGGGACAAGGAAACUUCCACUAUGCCUUUAGGGAUGACCAUGCAUUAGAGCCUAUGUACUGAGCAGGUCUGAGGUUGCAGUCAAAGGCAGUUUCUGUACUCUCAGAGCCUCUGGUCCAGUGCGGACGACACAAGGGGAGAGGAAGGGAGUCAGGGACACCAGUGACUCCCCACUCUGCCUGGGAAGGACCUCCAAGGCCAUAAGGAGUUCCAAGAUGGCGCCACUGGAGCCCAAAGCCCUUUUUUGCCUUGGAAAGCUCACUCCCUUUUCAUGGCCUGUGUUUUUCUGGAAACUAUUAGAACUCUCCGCCCAAACCAGAUGAUAAUUACAUGUUACCAAUCUCGAGUCUUUAAAUUUCUCUCUCUCUCUUUAAAAAGAGAGAUAUUUUUACUGCACAUUGUGUUGGCGAAGCCCGGUCUCCUUUCUACCCGGCAGCCUGGUUGUUAUUAUCGCGCUUCCUCUGUGAAUUCACCCCAGAGGGAGGGAGGGGAAAGGUCUGAAGGCAGCAAAUGGGGAUAAUAAUGUGUCUCUGGCCAGGGGCAAAGGUCAGAGAACCAGAGGCGGCAGAGAGAGAGGGAUGGUACAAGAUCACAGGACUAUCAGAGGAGGGUCAGGAAAGAAGGCCGGGCCAGGGGCUGUGGGAAGGCAGCCUGCACAUGCGUCUGCCCCCAAGUUGUCUGCCCUGGCUCCUCUGUUCACUGCCCCGCAGGACAGAUCUCCGUGGGCCUUCUCGGGUCACCUGGGUCCCAUGGAGUCAGACAGACCUGGGGCUCCUAUUCUGGUGCCCCAACCUUGUAGCUCUGUGCCUCAAGCCUGUCGUUGAUCUUUCUGAGCCUUGGUUUCUCCUUUUGAAAAAGGGCAUCACAGCAGCUCCACCCUGGGGUUGUUUCAAAGCUUCCACAAGAUCAUGUAAGGUCCUAGGAGAGCAUGGAGUGCAUAGCUUGUGCUCAGUAAAAGGGACCUGUUGUAUCUUCAUUGUAUACCCACCCCCCCUGCCUGGUCUCUCUCUGGUCUUGCACUGAAUAAUUCCUUGUGCCUUCAUCAUCCCAGGCUAGGUGCUGGAGCCUGGGGUAGGGCUGGGGGAGGCCUCCCUUGCUGAUUUCUGGCUCCACUGUCGCUUUCCAGCUACAGAAAAGGUCACGCCACCCAACUGAGGGAUUGGCAGGUGGCUUGGGCUGAGUCCUGGGUGCCCCCCACUCCCAGCAGUGCUGGCCUGCAAAUGGGGAGCUGGGCAAGGGGGCACAUAUGUCAGCGGGAUGGGCAGGGCUCUGGGCACUGAAGGCUGUGACUGAAACCUGAGCUUUUGCCCUGGGGGCUAAGGAAGAACCACCGGAAGCUUUUCACCCAGGGGGAGUUGGGAUUCAGAGAGGCUGCCUGGGGUGCUGGAGGUGGGUGAGGGGAGAGGGGUGGGGCCAGGACCAGGCCUUUUCACUCCCUUUAUUCCCCCAACUCUUUUGGAAAGCCCUUCCCACCUCCCCCCAAAACAGAAUGAAAUGAAUUCACCUCUGUGAUUUUUAUAAUCAAAAGAGUUUUGGAUAAUGCUGCUUCUAAAAUUCUUUGUUUACAAGAAAUUAAUUUAGUUACAAUUGGCCACAAUUCCUCCACUGAGGGUCCAGUCUUAGAAAUUCUUGCAAAAUGAGGAGUAAAUUCACCUAUAAAUUUGUUUCAAAUGUGAUGAAGUAUAAUGAAAUCUUUAUGAUGAUGAAAGGGAACAAUGAAUGCAUUUGACAUUGUGUUAGGUUUUCUAGAUGUUUAAUUAAACAUUCAUUGCUUCUGGAGUUCCCAUCGUGGCACAGUGGAAACGAAUCCGACUAGGAACCACAAGGUUGUGGGUUUGAUCCCUGGCCUUGCUCAGUGGGUGAAGGAUCCGGCGUUGCCAUGAGCUAUGGUGUAGGUCACAGACAGGGCUCAGAUCUGGUGUUGCUGUGGCUGUGGUGUAGGCCGCCAGCUACAGCUCCGAUUAGACCCCUAGCCUGGGAACCUCUACAUGUCACAGGGGCAGCCCUAAAAAGACACACACACGCACAAAAAGUAUUGCUUCUGAUUUUCCAAGGUUUUUCUUUUCGCCAUUUUUGGAGUGCUAACGUUUUCAAAGGCUCUCAAAACAUCCUCAGGCCUGAGAUGCAAAGGCUUCUCUACCUAGAAGCUCAAAAUGGGGAAACAGGGAAAAUUAACACAUUGUACAUCAUGAAUUUUUUAGAAAACAAUGACAUGCAGAGAGACACAUCUGAGGGCCCUUCUCUUUAGGGGACGGAGCCCAGGGUGAGGUGUGGCCGGGGCGUUGCCAAGUGUGGGAUUGGGCAGCCGCAGAACAGGUCGAUGUGCUCAUUCAGAGCUUCUUUUCAUUCUAAAUGGGUAUCAUACCCUAAAAUUUGACCCAAAGACUUUUUGUUUGUUUGUUUGUUUGUUUUUUGGUCUUUAGGGCCACACCCGAGGCAUGUGGAGGUUCCCAGGCUAAGGGUCUAAUUGGAGCUAUAGCCGCCGGCCUACACCACAGCCAUAGCAACGCAGGAUCCCAGCCACAUCUUUGACCCACACCACAGCUCACAGCAACGCCAGAUCCUUAACACACUGAGCGAGGCCAGGGAUUGAACCUCCGUCCUCAUGGACCCCAGUUGGGAUGGUUAACUGCUGAGCCACGACAGGACCUCCGAAAGACAUCUCUUAGCAGACCUAAUGAGUUUAGUAUGGACCCUAUUUCCGGUGUUUUAUUUUAUUCAAUUUUUCUAGCCAUAUUGUAAAUACUGUUAAAUCUGCAUUUUACAGAUAAGAAAACUGAGGUUCAGAAAGAUGACUAAGUCACCCGGUCAAGGUCAUGGGCUAGUGGGUGGAAUUGAGGGUGGAACUGAGGGGGGUUAAGCCAGGCUAUCAGACUGGAGAAUCCAAGCUCUUAGCAAUUACUUCUACUGCUAUGAACAGGUAUGGUGUCACAAGUCCUGGGAUAAGAAAUGGUGCUUUCUAAGCUGGACAACGCAGCACUGUCUCGUAGGACUUAUUAGAUCUGUCAUGGAAAAAAGUUGACAAUUGUUUCUAAGGUUUCUUUGAGUAUGCCCAUCUUAGCUUAGCUGCUAUAACAAAAAUACCAUAGAACAAGUGGUUUGUCAUUAUCUUUUUCUUUUUAUGGCCACCUGUGGUAUAGAGAAAUUUCCAGGCCAGGGGUCAAAUCAGAGCUGUAGCUGAGGCUAUACCACUGCCACAGCAGUGCUGCAUCUGAGCUGCAAGCUAUGCCACAGCUCGUGGCAAUGCUGGAUCCUUAACCCACAGAGUGAGGACAGGGAUGGAACCUGCAUCCUCAAGGAGACAACUGGGUUCUUAACCGGCAGAGCCACAAUGGGAACUCCCAACCAAGUGGUUUAAACAACAAAGAUCUGACUCUCCAUUCUGGGACUGGAAGUUCAAGGUCAUGGUGCUGGCAGAUUCCGUGUCUGGUGAGAGGCACUUCCUGGUCCAUAGAUGCUGUGUUCUCGCUGUGUCCUCACCUGGUGGGGAUUCGGGGGAGCAAAAGGUGUCUCAUGACUCUUAUAAGGGCGCCAAUCCCAUCUCGGGAGCUCCACCCUCAUAACCUCGUUUAAUCCUAAUCACCUCCCAAGGGCCCCACCUCCUAACACCAUCACGUCGGUCGCCGGGUAGGGUUUCAACAUAUGAAUUUGUGGGUUGCCCUGAACCCUCGCUGCCUAUCAGUGCCCACGCAAGCAGCACGGUGCCGAGUCCUCAGAGGCUCAGCAACCUGAGAAGGGAGUAGAAAAGAGUUCAAUAUUUGAGAUUUUGUUCUCGUUAACCACUUUUAAAAUGAUUCUGUGUUGAAAUAGUUGGGCUAUAUGGGGGUGAAGAAAAGACUGGGUGACUGUAUGUCCACACACCCAGGCAGGCACACCCAGCUCUGCACACACGUGCACACACACCACACACACACACACACACACACGCACAUGCACGAGCCCCUCUGUCUUCCUCAUGGGGAGCUCUCUAAGGUGCUCUGACCUCACGUCACUCACCACCACUUUACAGUUUGCAAUCUGAGGCUGGGCACCCCAGAAGCACACCUAAGGCACCUGAGAGGGCAGGCGGGGAGGGCCGGGGAAGGGUGGUCCCUGAUGGAGGGCGUGCCAUCCAGCACGUGACCUGGUACUCCCGGGCAUCAGUGUGGCUGGGAGCGAGGGGAAUGCUGGGAACAUGAAGAGCAUCUUCUUGGGGUUCCCCACGGAGGGCAAGGGAGCUGAGGUGCUUGGCUUCCCUCGGUCGCUGGAGGAAGCUCUUCUUCAUGGUGUCUAUCCCCCAGCAUGACUGGCCUGCUGUAUGGGGGGCAGAGAAGCUUCUGGAAGCCAGAGACAGUCCCAGGCAGCCGGACAUAGGUGCUGCGGCGGGAAGUUGGACCCGAGUGGGCAGAAGCAGAAAGAGUCUGGGGACAGGGGCACAGUAGCAUUGCUUCCAGUUCUCUGCCCAAGUUACUCCUCUUGGGAACUGAGGCCCCCAGGGGGUGACCAGCUGGAAACAGCCAGGGGGUGGAUUUCGAAUCCAGAUCAAAGGAUCACAUCCAGGGCCCUGACCCCAUCCUUUGCAGCUUCCCCCGGAUUUGCCCACGCCUGUAAAGAGCAGGCAGGCAGGAGUCUAGCUCCAUGAAUUUUAAAAAUUCAUUUUUACAUUUGCUCACUCAAUCGAGUUAGAUGCUUUUAAAGACAAAUUUAAUUAUUUUGAGCUCAAUAAAAGCCUUU
rnacentral:lncRNA from 1 species